rnacentral:rRNA from 1 species
GACGAACGCUGGCGGCGUGCUUAACACAUGCAAGUCGAACGGAAAGGCCCUGCUUUUGUGGGGUGCUCGAGUGGCGAACGGGUGAGUAACACGUGAGUAACCUGCCCUUGACUUUGGGAUAACUUCAGGAAACUGGGGCUAAUACCGGAUAGGAUCUCCUGCUGCAUGGUGGGGGUUGGAAAGUUUCGGCGGUUGGGGAUUGACUCGCGGCUUAUCAGCUUGUUGGUGGGGUAGUGGCUUACCAAGGCUUUGACGGGUAGCCGGCCUGGGAGGGUGACCGGCCACAUUGGGACUGAGAUACGGCCCAGACUCCUACGGGAGGCAGCAGUGGGGAAUAUUGCACAAUGGGCGGAAGCCUGAUGCAGCAACGCCGCGUGCGGGACGACGGCCUUCGGGUUGUAAACCGCUUGCGCCUGUGACGAAGCGUGAGUGACGGUAAUGGGUAAAGAAGCACCGGCUAACUACGUG